GCGAUUAUAGUUUAAUUAUUAAAAAUUUUGCUUUUGUAAAGCAUGGAUGGUAAAAUUUACCUUUUCGCA
rnacentral:tRNA from 1 species